UUAUUUCUGGAUAUGUUAAUUGGUGAUCCUUAGGUGCUCCACCUAUCCGACGCAGCUCCCCUCCUCCCGGCGGUGCUCCCCUCCUGCGACGCCGCUGCCUCAUCCCUGCGCCGCUCCCUCUUAUCGACGGCCCUCCAUCCUCCCGACACCGCUCCCCUCCUGCGACGCCCCCCCUCCCUGCGCCGCCGUUCCUCUCGUCGCCGAUCCAGGCACUGGUGCCGCCCGCUGCAAGCUGCUGGUUAGCCCUCCGUCGAUCCCACGAUGCGAGAUCUUGGCCUCCUAGGUCAUUAACCUCCGUCCUGAUCUGCUUCGCCCGUUCCUAGCUCCCUCCGCCUGAUACUGGACUUAUCGCAGUAGAAUUUGAUCGCAAAUGUGUAUGUGUUUUGCUGUGAAGUUUGUGUGAGCUCUGCAAUCAGCCUGUUGUUGGUGAUCAACCUUAGUUCGCUGCCUAUCGUCUCUUUUAACAACAUGCUAUAGUGGUUCAUUAGACAUUCAUCUGCUUCUGUUUCAGGCCUUGGUCAUAUCAAGAUGGAAACACCUCCCCAUUCACUGAGGCCAAUCAAUAGGUGUCACCCAGCUUGGGAUUAUGUCGCUUCCGCUCCUCCCGUCACCGGUGCUCCUCCGGCGCUCCGUGAUGUCGCUCUGUCCUCCCGUCGCCCCUAGGAGAGUACUGCCGACGGCGCCGGAUCCUGCGACCAACCUCCUUCGGCGUGCCAUCUGCUCAGGAGCUUCCUCAACACGCCCUCCAUCUCUGUUUGCUCCCGUGCGCCCCUAGUUUUGCUCUUAUGCAAUGUGUAUAGGCUGUCUUUAACCUGCAUAUACCAAUAAUUCUUAGCUCUUAUGCAGAUUGCAAUAUGCAUGCUGGAUACCUGCACAUGAGAUGGUUGAUUGGCUAGAUAGUUUCUGAUUUCCUUUUUGUUUAUUGUUCUACCAUAUUGUAAAAAUAGGGUCAAUAAAAUAGUAGAAUGCAUUGAGUUUUUAUGAGCUCUUAUCGUGUGCUCGGUUUGAAUAUGGUGAAUGUAAAUGCAAAGUGUUCUCAGUUUUGUGAUAAGAGAACUUACUGCUACUUUGCAUAGAAUUGAAGUUUUUAUGAUUGCAUAUGCUUCA